ACUUACAUUUCAUUAAUCUAUGAAGGCGUAUGUGUGAUAAACUUCCCUUCAUUAUAAUAUGUGGCCUAAACAAAAAUUCUCAUCCUCAUUUUUCAAUAUGUUUAAUUCAAUUCAUUAAAUAAUGGAGGUUAGGGAGCAAAGGGAUUUUCUAAGUUUGAUCAUAAAGUGAUUUCCAUUAGAAUUUAUUCAUCCUUUUUGUAUCUUAUGGAUCACAUUAGAAUUUGUUUCUAAGUUCGAUCAUGAAAGUUGUUUGGAAUUUAGAUGAUAGCACAUAACACCAAGUGCGGAGGUGAACUAAUUUUGACUCUAAUUAUGCUCGUUGUUCUACUUAAGAAUGCAAGUCAGACAUUUCUUUCACACAAGUUUUUUGUGUUUUAGUCUAUUUUACGUAUUUCACCUUCCAAAGAUUAUGGUCUUUGGUUGUAGUAAAUUAACACUUCAACCCUUUCACUAGAUUCAACAACUGCAGCCAACUCAACAUUUCACCUGGAUAUUCACUUUUACAUUUAUGGCUCUAGGAGGACAGCUAGUAGAUGCCCAUGUCUCUCUUUUGGAUUAACAUCUUCAAGGGGGCCAAGUAGAGAGAAUUAGCACUACGUUCAAUUGAAUGAUUAUCAUUCAAAAUUAUUUCAACAAUAUAAGUGAGUUACUAUUCAAUGAGAUUUAACUCCAAACUUCACAAAGGUUUGAUGCUUCAGAUUUCUCAUUACGAAACCAUUUGCAUGGGGG
rnacentral:lncRNA from 1 species